GAACGCACAUUGCGCCCCUUGGUAUUCCAUGGGGCAUGCCUGUUCGAGCGUCAUUUGUACCUUCAAGCUCUGCUUGGUGUUGGGUGUUUGUCUCGCCUCUGCGUGUAGACUCGCCUCAAAACAAUUGGCAGCCGGCGUAUUGAUUUCGGAGCGCAGUACAUCUCGCGCUUUGCACUCAGAACGACGACGUCCAAAAGUACAUUUUUACACUCUUGACCUCGGAUCAGGUAGGGAUACCCGCUGAACUUAAG
rnacentral:misc_RNA from 1 species